rnacentral:rRNA from 1 species
UACGUAGGGUGCAAGCGUUAAUCGGAAUUACUGGGCGUAAAGCGUGCGCAGGCGGUUAUGUAAGACAGGGGUGAAAUCCCCGGGCUCAACCUGGGAACUGCCUUUGUGACUGCAUAGCUAGAGUACGGUAGAGGGGGAUGGAAUUCCGCGUGUAGCAGUGAAAUGCGUAGAUAUGCGGAGGAACACCGAUGGCGAAGGCAAUCCCCUGGACCUGUACUGACGCUCAUGCACGAAAGCGUGGGGAGCAAACAGG